UUCACGGGAAGAAACCAUAUGCACCCAAUUCGCUCGUGCUAGUUCAACUCUUAAAAUAUUUAAGCGCUCAAGUCUUUGAUCUACAAACAGUGACGGAAGCCGUUACUUCGGGAUCGACGCGAAAUAACUAAAAAACUGCCGUCGACCGCAUACGCGAUAAGGUAUAGUUAACGUAAUCGCGCAUCGCGCACAUCCCAGGGCGCGUGAUUCGACCGGAGAAAUCCACUCGCGAGCGCGCCGGUUUGUCUGCAGCAGUGUUGAAUUUUUUUUUUUUUUUCUAUCACACACAGGUGAUAGGCGCUGAUCAUCAGCAAAGGACAAAGAACAACGGUGGCUCUUUUCCAACCAGUCUGUAAUGUUCCGAGAAAUUACUCAUGCCGUCUGACGCGAACGGUAUUGCAUAAAAAAAGCCAUCCCACGCACAUUGCUCAAGCGUACCGCUACGUUGAGCACGCGAAAGGCGGAACGAAAAAUCAUUCAGGUAACUUUUGAUUGCCGUGAAGGAAAAGUUGUGUGGCCGUUUAAUGCCUCGGCAUGGCUCACAUGUGCUGCUUGCAGUGUAAUCAACCGGUACUCUCAGUGCCACACUGCAGCCAGUGCUGACCUGGAAACCAGUAGACCUUCUCCCAACAGAUGCCUUGGGAUCCCAGCGGAAACCACCACGAUGUGGUGCCCGACGCCAUUCCCAUACCUCACAGCAGGCGCCACGAAGUUAUUGCAGCAUUGCGCAAUUCUGGGACAUCCGGUGAUCGUCAACAGGACAGCUCUGAAAGAAACCUGCACAAACCUGCGCCUGCAACCAGGGAUGCUGGUACCAUGACAGACCCACAACAAAGGCGUUCAUGCCACAACAAACCCGCAUCUCCACACUUGGAUUCCCACCACUCGGAACACCAAGGGAGAAAAGCGACGCUUGCACAUAACACGGAAAAGUCUGCACGCAAAUAAGAAAUGCAGUUGUUUUUAAUUUAAGAAUAAUGUUGUGGCUCGGUGCAAGAAACAAGUGAUGGAAAGGGAAGCCCCACAUUAUAAACAGCGCAUCCAUAUGACUACGAAGGAAUGUUAGUGUUUUCACACAGUGCGAAGUAAGGACAACCCCGGUAGAAGUGGCCAAUGUCCAAGCCGACCAGCCACUUUGCAAGUCCAUAGUGUCGCAAACAAAAGGCACAAAGGCAGCCACACCAAGCGUUUGCUGCGCUUCACUUCAGCAGGCAGCGGUGGCCAGUGUGGCUGGUAUUCGAUGCAUCCUUCCACCUGCAUUUUAGAAAAACGACGACAAUGUGACAUCUGCUUCACCAUCCUGCAGCCACCUAGCAGCAAAGACAAGGAGGUGGACGACUGCACAAACGCUACCUCAAAUUCUAGUAGAUGACAUAGUCAAAACUUGGAUGAAUUGACAUGGCUGCACAAAUGUGACAAGAGCGGGAUGAUCGCAUGCUAACUCAAGGAAAGGACUCCCAACACUUGCAAAGCAUUACACGGUACUCCAACUCUUUCGACAUAAAGUGUGUUGACAGAGUAUGCAUCAAUUUAGCGAAUGCAUGCUUCCAAGGACCGAUAAUGUACAAUUCCCGAUGUUUUAUACGCAUGUUGAAUGAGAGAUUUAUUUUAACGUUUCUCAAGGCGUUCUAGCAACUUUGCCAGUGCCUUAUGGCUGUGAGGCCUUUAUUACCAUCCUCGCUCUGCAUUCAUAGUACUGUAUACAAAUUAACUUGCAGCUGACAAAUUGCAUAUGCAUAAUCGAAGGGCUAGAAACCUGUACAAAAUUAACAGUGCAGUGCUAAUCAAAAUCCUUAACGAGUUAGGUAGGAAACAAAUAAGAUACUUCUAAGGCAUGUGGUCACAAGAAAUAAAUUUUUUUGUUGAUACUUUA